UACGUAGGGCGCAAGCGUUAUCCGGAAUUAUUGGGCGUAAAGAGCUCGUAGGCGGUUUGUCGCGUCUGCCGUGAAAGUCCGGGGCUCAACUCCGGAUCUGCGGUGGGUACGGGCAGACUAGAGUGAUGUAGGGGAGACUGGAAUUCCUGGUGUAGCGGUGAAAUGCGCAUAUAUCAGGAGGAACACCGAUGGCGAAGGCGGGUCUCUGGGCCGAUAUCGACGCUGAGGAGCGAAAGCGUGGGGAGCGAACAGG
rnacentral:rRNA from 1 species